rnacentral:lncRNA from 1 species
AGAUAUGUGUGUGUGUGCAUGAGAGAGAGAGAUUGAGAAUGACUGAUUUGGGAGGGAUUUUGUGAAGGUUUAUAUAUCAAAGCAGAAAGACCAAGAAUUUAGAGAUUAAUACAUGCCAAGUGGUAACCAAGAAACUUCUGUGGGAUCCCACCUCCAACCCCUCCCUCUCUGUCAGAUUUUAACCAAAUCAGUGUGAUGUGAUCUGCUUGCAUAUAUGAGUGAAAGAAAAAGGAAAUUUAAAAAGUUCUUGAUAUAAAGCCUGGAGGAAACAAUACGAAAAUCCAGCCUCUAUUUCAGCAAUAUCUGCCGGACUAUUGGU